rnacentral:rRNA from 1 species
GAGUGAACGCUGGCGGUAGGCCUAACACAUGCAAGUCGAACGGCAGCACAGUAAGAGCUUGCUCUUACGGGUGGCGAGUGGCGGACGGGUGAGGAAUACAUCGGAAUCUACUUUUUCGUGGGGGAUAACGUAGGGAAACUUACGCUAAUACCGCAUACGGCCUACGGGUGAAAGCAGGGGAUCUUCGGACCUUGCGCGAUUGAAUGAGCCGAUGUCGGAUUAGCUAGUUGGCGGGGUAAAGGCCCACCAAGGCGACGAUCCGUAGCUGGUCUGAGAGGAUGAUCAGCCACACUGGAACUGAGACACGGUCCAGACUCCUACGGGAGGCAGCAGUGGGGAAUAUUGGACAAUGGGCGCAAGCCUGAUCCAGCCAUACCGCGUGGGUGAAGAAGGCCUUCGGGUUGUAAAGCCCUUUUGUUGGGAAAGAAAAGCAGCAGGUUAAUACCCCGCUGUUCUGACGGUACCCAAAGAAUAAGCACCGGCUAACUUCGUG